AUGAUGAGCAGGUGACUAAUUUUCUGCUGUUGUUAUUAUUGCAACAAGACCACAGCAGUGGUGUUUGGAUGUUGAUAGUGAGGUUGGUAGACACAGUUCUUACAGUGCUGGUUAAUGUAAAAUACAUACAUUGUGAGGACUGUGUGUGGAAUCUGUCAGGUGUUAUUUAGUUUACACUGAGAAAUUAAUUUUCUAUCAAUAUUAUUGCAUUACAUUUGGCUCAUUUAUGUCACUAACCAGUGUAGCUACAUAACUGUAUUGAAAAGUAUCAACGUAUCUGUGUUGAAUGGAUGUUAAUGCCCUUUUGUGUUUGUUUGCACAACGUUUCAGGGCACACCGAUCUUCCUCAUGUUGAUAUGCCCAUGGCAUCGUCCUCCCUCAAAGAUGAUGAGCAGGUGACUAAUUUUUCUGCUGUUGUUAUUAUGGCAAAAAUAACACAACAUAGUUGUUUGGAUGUUGAUAGUGAGGUUGGUAGACACAGUUCUUACAGUGCGGGUUAAUGUAAGAUACAUACAUUGUGAGGACUGUGUGUGUUUUGGAUAUGCAAGUCUAUCGAAAGAUGGGCUCCCAAGUCCACAUGAAACACAGACCCUACAGUGUAUGAAGCUGUCAGGUACAUUAUUAUGAGGACUGUGUGUGGAUACUGUCGUGUGUUAUCUUAGUUUACACUGAGGAAUUAAUUUUCUAUCACUAUUAUUGCAUUCCAUUUGCCUCAUUUAUGUCACUAACCAGUGUAGCUACGUAACUGCAUUGUAAAGUCUCAACGUAUCUGUGUUGAAUGGAUGUUAAUGCCCUUUUGUGUUUGUUUGCACAACGUUUCAGGGCACACCGAUCUUCCUCAUGUUGAUAUGCCCAUGGCAUCGUCCUCCCUCAAAGAUGAUGAGCAGGGCACACCGAUCUUCCUCAUGUUGAUAUGCCCAUGGCAUCGUCCUCCCUCAAAGAUGAUGAGCAGGGCAUACCGAUCGUCCUCAUGUUGAUACGCCCAUGGCAUCGUCCUCCCUCAAAGAUGAUGAGCAGGGCACACCGAUCUUCCUCAUGUUGAUACGCCCAUGGCAUCGUCCUCCCUCAAAGAUGAUGAGCAGGGCAUACCGAUCUUCCUCAUGUUGAUAUGCCCAUGGCAUCGUCCUCCCUCAAAGAUGAUGAGCAGCAUUUCCUGAAAAUGGUGCUGAAGGGGAAAAUCCUCAAAGGAAACAAAAAUCUCCAUGAUGUCCCACAGAGAUUGGAGCAGUGAGGAGACAUUUCUGUGGGCACAUUGCUAAUGGGAGACUAUCCAUUGUGAUUAAAAUCAAACAGUGUAAAAAUGCUCAAUGUCCUGUAUGAGACAGUCGCUCUUUUCAAAAUGUAAGCGACUUUGUCAUGAAUCAUGGUUUAAUGCUAAAAAAGAGGAACAGUUGUUAAAUAAUCAGGUUAAAAAAAUCUAUAGACACAUCUGAGACAUAUACAUGUUUGCAAAAGUCAUUUAGUUUGCAGUAGGGCUGGGCCAUAUCAUACCGUUCACGGUAAUACCGGUAUAAUUUUGGGCAACGAUAAGAAAAUGAAAUAUUGCGAUAGAAUAUGGGUAAAACGCGCAUGCGCAGUACCUUUGUUUUCAUACGCACAUGGCGGAUAAAGCAUGGCGGAGAAUGAGAAGGGCAAAAGCGGAUCGGCAGUGCCCUUUAUAAUCCCGCGGGCCUUAUGUAUGAAUUCUGGUUGUGUUUACUGACCUUGAAACGAUUUUAUGUGGUACACGGUGCUCAAAAAUCUGUCAAAUGUUUUAGCACAACUUUGCUAAGCUACGAACCCACACCGCUUGAUGGAUUGUCGGAGCAUUAUAGCUAUCGUAGGCAGGAGCCUCGCGGAGUGAUAUGUACUGUGCUUCAACAUAGUAUUACAGUAUUGUGUGUAUAUAACCUCUUUUUAAGUUUUGUGGACAUUAUACAUGGUUAUGCUGAGGAUAUGUCGGCCAGUUUCCACUGGAAAUGCCUUUUGGUUAAACUGUCAGCAAAGAAUUUGC